GUCCUAGCCGUAAACGCUGCAUGCCAGAUGUUACACAAUCUUCGAGAUUGUGUAGUGUCGAAACGAAGGUGUUAAGCAUGCCACCUGGGAAGUACGGUCGCAAGGCUGAAACUUAAAGGAAUUGGCGGGGGAGCACCACAAGGGGUGCGGCGUGCGGUUUAAUCGAAUUCAACGCCGAGAAUCUCACCAGAGGCGACGGCAGUAUGAAGCUCAGUCUGAAGGGCUUAGCUGACGAGCCGAGAGGUGGUGCAUGGCCGCCGU
rnacentral:rRNA from 1 species